rnacentral:rRNA from 1 species
UGGGGAAUAUUGCACAAUGGGCGCAAGCCUGAUGCAGCCAUGCCGCGUGUAUGAAGAAGGCCUUCGGGUUGUAAAGUACUUUCAGCGGGGAGGAAGGUGUUGAGGCUAAUAACCUCAGCAAUUGACGUUACCCGGAGAAGAAGCACCGGCUAACUCCGUGCCAGCAGCCGCGGAAAUACGGAGGGUGCAAGCGUUAAUCGGAAUUACUGGGCGUAAAGCGCACGCAGGCGGUCUGUCAAGUCGGAUGUGAAAUCCCCGGGCUCAACCUGGGAACUGCAUUCGAAACUGGCAGGCUAGAGUCUUGUAGAGGGGGGUAGAAUUCCAGGUGUAGCGGUGAAAUGCGUAGAGAUCUGGAGGAAUACCGGUGGCGAAGGCGGCCCCCUGGACAAAGACUGACGCUCAGGUGCGAAAGCGUGGGGAGCAAACA